AGAUUGAACGCUGGCGGCAGGCCUAACACAUGCAAGUCGAGCGGUAGAGAGGUGCUUGCACCUCUUGAGAGCGGCGGACGGGUGAGUAAUGCCUAGGAAUCUGCCUAGUGGUGGGGGAUAACGUUCGGAAACGGACGCUAAUACCGCAUACGUCCUACGGGAGAAAGCGGGGGACCUUCGGGCCUCGCGCCAUUAGAUGAGCCUAGGUCGGAUUAGCUAGUUGGUGAGGUAAUGGCUCACCAAGGCGACGAUCCGUAACUGGUCUGAGAGGAUGAUCAGUCACACUGGAACUGAGACACGGUCCAGACUCCUACGGGAGGCAGCAGUGGGGAAUAUUGGACAAUGGGCGAAAGCCUGAUCCAGCCAUGCCGCGUGUGUGAAGAAGGUCUUCGGGUUGUAAAGCCCUUUUUGUUGGAAAGAAAAGCAAAUCGGUUAAUACCCGGUUGUUCUGACGGUACCCAAAGAAUAAGCACCGGCUAACUUCGUGCCAGCAGCCGCGGU
rnacentral:rRNA from 1 species